UACGUAGGGUGCGAGCGUUGUUCGGAUUUACUGGGCGUAAAGCGUGCGUAGGCGGUGUCUUAAGUUUGUUGUGAAAUCUCCCGGCUUAACCGGGAGGGUGCGGCGAAUACUGAGAUGCUGGAGUGCCGGAGAGGUAAGCGGAAUUCCUGGUGUAGCGGUGAAAUGCGUAGAUAUCAGGAGGAACACCUGCGGUGUAGACGGCUUACUGGACGGUAACUGACGCUGAGGCACGAAAGCGUGGGUAGCAAACAGG
rnacentral:rRNA from 1 species